rnacentral:piRNA from 5 species
CGACUGCAUAAUUUGUGGUAGUGGGG